AUGAGUUUAUACAGAACCUUGGUUGACGAUAUUCUCCCAAUUCUAACCCAGAUACCACCAUGACUAACAGAAAUCCAGAAGUAAUUAAAUGCAAAGCUGCAGUCGUAUGGAAAGCAGGAGAGCCAUUGAAAGUGGAGGAAAUACAAGUGGAUCCUCCCAAAUCCUCUGAAGUUAGAAUCAAAAUGCUUUGUGCAAGUUUGUGUCACACUGAUUUUCUCUGUUGCAAUGGACACCCAGUUCCCCUGUUUCCCCGGAUUCCUGGACAUGAAGGAGUUGGAAUGAUAGAGAGUGUGGGAGGAGGAGUGUCAAACCUGAAGGAAGGAGAUAGAGUGAUGCCACUCUAUCUGGGAGAAUGUGGGGAAUGUCUGAAUUGCAAAUCUGGAAAGACAAAUUUAUGCCACAAAUAUCCCUUCAAUUUCACAGGCCUAAUGCCAGAUGGAACAUCAAGAAUGCACAUUGGAGAUCAGAUUAUAUAUCACCAUUUUAGCUGUGGUACAUGGUCGGAAUACGUUGUUAUCGAUGCGAAUUUCGCUGUCAAGGUAGAUCCCAGGGUUCCUCUUGCACAUGCAAGUUUCCUUUGCUGUGGUUUCACUACAGGUUUUGGAUCCGCCUGGAGGGCAGUCACUAUUGAAAAGGGCUCAACUGUUGCUGUAAUUGGUGUUGGUGCUGUUGGACUCGGAGUGAUGGAAGCAGCCCGAAUGCAAGGAGCAUCUAGGAUAAUUGGGAUCGACAAAAACAACUUCAAGAAGAAGAAAGGAGAAGCCUUUGGAAUGACUGAAUUUAUUAAUCCCAAAGAAUCUGAUAAACCUGUAUCAGAAUUGAUUAAAGAUGCUACAGAUGGACUGGGUGUGGAUUACUUUUAUGAGUGCACUGGGGUUCCAGCCAUGCUUAAUGAAGCAAUUGAGGGUUCCAAAGUGGGACUUGGGACAAUAGUACUGAUUGGUAGUGGACUUGAUUUAAGUGGAGAGCUCAAAUACAUUCCCCUCUUGUGUGGUAGGACAUUGAAGGGUUCCAUUUAUGGUGGAGUAAGACCUCAAUCGGACCUCCCUAUAAUAGUUGAGAAAUGCAUAAAUAAGGAAAUUCAACUGGAUGAACUGGAGACCCAUGAAGUUUCACUUGAAGAAAUUAACAAGGCAUGGGAGUAUCUGAAGCAACCCAACUGUGUUAAGAUUGUUAUCAAUUAUUAGAGGGAAUGCUCUUGUAUUCAAUAGUUGUUACUAAGCUGUACUCUGUGUGCUUGUGUAUCAAGAAGCCCUCAAGGACUACGUUUUCCUUUAAAUUAAUAAUAAUGGAGAAAAUAACCAAUCCAAUCGAUUAGUCCAA